rnacentral:misc_RNA from 1 species
AACAAUUUAUCGAUAACCUUUAAUAUUAUUUAUGAUUGUUUUUCUAUUGGAAUUUUUGGGGUGCCAUCUGAUAAUGGGACCCAUGUGUGUUGCAAAUAUAAAGGAUACGGAGAACACAUGUCAAUCAAAUAGGAAAGAAAUUUUGAAGCAAACUCCUGGACCGGGUCAUGUUCAUUUGAGCAGGCUUCGACAAGGAUAGUUUAAAUUGAAGUGUUUUGCCUCGUUUGGUCAUCUAUAUGCUCUAUUGUCCAUCUCAUCAUAUUACUUGUUAAGCAGUUGGAGUUGUG